rnacentral:lncRNA from 1 species
AAGGCCUGGGUGUGACCCUGCAGCACCAGCGGGGUCCCCUCCCUGUGCCCCGUCAUCAUCAUCAUCAUCAUCAUCAUCAUCAUCCUCGGCCCUCUGUGGGGAGGUGUCACUGCUCAGCCUGGGCACUGCUGUGGUGUAUCCCAAAAAAUCCCCCAAAAAUCCCCAAAAUCUGCAAUGGAAUGGAGAGACAGUGUGGGACAGGUGUGGGUUGGGCAGGGCAGCUUCAUCCCCAUAAAUCCCCCUGUGAUUUAUCCCAAAAAUCCCAGGGCAGCUUCAUCUUCAUCCUCCUAAAUCAUCCUGUGGUUUAUCCCAAAAAUCCCAGGGCAGCUUCAUCCUUCCAAAUCCCCCUCUGGUUUAUCCCAAAAAUCCCCAAAAUCUGCAAUGGAAUGGAGACACCGUGUGGGACAGGUGUGGGUUGGGCAGGGCAGCUUCAUCCUCCUAAAUCACCCUGUGGUUUAUCCCAAAAAUCCCAGGGAAGUUUCAUCCUCCUAAAUUACCUUCUGGUUAACCCCAAAAAUCCCAAGGCAGCUUCAUCCUUCCAGAUCACUCUGUGGUUUAUCCCAAAAAUCCCAGGGCAGCUUCAUCUUCAUCCUCUUAAAUCACCCUGUGGUUUAUCCCAAAAAACUCCAACUGAAUGAAAACAC